rnacentral:rRNA from 1 species
AUUGAACGCUGGCGGCACGCCUAACACAUGCAAGUCGAGCGCCCCGCAAGGGGAGCGGCAGACGGGUGAGUAACGCGUGGGAACGUACCCUUUGCUACGGAAUAGCUCCGGGAAACUGGAAUUAAUACCGUAUGUGCCCUACGGGGGAAAGAUUUAUCGCCGAAGGAGCAGCCCGCGUCUGAUUAGGUAGUUGGUGGGGUAAAGGCCUACCAAGCCGACGAUCAGUAGCUGGUCUGAGAGGAUGAUCAGCCACACUGGGACUGAGACACGGCCCAGACUCCUACGGGAGGCAGCAGUGGGGAAUAUUGGACAAUGGGCGCAAGCCUGAUCCAGCCAUGCCGCGUGAGUGAUGAAGGCCUUCGGGUUGUAAAGCUCUUUCGCACACGACGAUGAUGACGGUAGUGUGAGAAGAAGCCCCGGCUAACUUCGUGCCAGCCGCCGCUGUAACAC